GUGCGAGACGGACCGCUCGCCGCCGCUGCUAGCGCUCUUCCCCACCCCCUCUCCCUCUCUCCUUCUCCCUCCCUCCCUCCCACCCACCCUCCUCUGGGAUUCAUGCAAGUAACGUGCGUGCCCUUGUGAGUUUGGAGGGUGCCGGUCAGCGGAGCCACGCGAUGUAUUUGAAAAGCAAUCAUUCCGACCUUCCCCCAUAGAUUCAUCGCUUCUGCUUGUUCUUAGACUUGCAAAAGAGACCCAACGUGGUGCGAGUUUUGCACGGGAGAGUAGAGUUGGACGGUCAGCUGGGGUUUCCGUAGGUCAUACAGCAGCAUGCUCCUAUGUCCAGGGCUGAAAUUUGGUACUGCUUUUCUGUUCUGGAACCCACCAUCAAGGCCCAUCUGGGUUUAAAAGCGAAGCUAUAAGAAUCACUGCAGCUGAAGGACAAAUCCCCCGUGUCCCCUCUGCCAGGGGGUGCUCAUCAAAGGACAGCCAAGGAAGACAAAGUGCCGAGAUGCGUGCGCCCGUCCGGUGUGGUCGAGACUGCCAAUGCCAAGGUCUCGCGAAGUUGCUCAAGUCCUCUCUAAGUUGCUGAGGCCGGCCUGGAACUUGCCAUCCUCCUGCCUCAGCCUCCUGAACUGCUGGGAUCACAGGCAGGGGUCGCCCCACCAGGCUCCAAUGGCAUCUUGACCAGACUUUUCUCAAAGGCGCUGGGGUCUCGGGGUUGGCAAACCAGGCUCCGGGGACACCUCUCUGACCUGUUGCCGGUGUUUAAUGAAGCCUUCUUUGGAGCUCAGGCACCCCAGUUGAUGUACUUUCUGUGGCUGCUUGUCACCGCAUCAAGGAGUUGUGACAGACCAUGCCGCCUGCCCAGGCUGAACCAUUUAUGAUCUGGCCCCUUCUAGAAAAAGUUUGGAUGCCCGAUGCCCCUCACCCCGUUCACUGUGUAUCUAUCAAGAUCACCUCAGUGUCAGUCGAGGAUCGGGGUCAGCUCUCCCUCUGGCUGCUACCUGGAGAAGGUGUGGACGUGGCAGGAACCGCAGGCUUGGGGUCCGCCUUUACUCACUACGUCAAUGCUGUACGGUCGACGUGGGCGACUUCUGCUUCCACGUCAACAGAUGGACCCCUUUGGCCACCAGCUGGUGUUUGGGAGGAGCAAGUGAGAGAAUAUUUAUCCCAGAACCUAAGAGUCAUAUGAUUGUCUGAAACAAAAGUGCCGGUGGAGUUGCCUAUGAGAAAGCCAACCUUCCAGAAUCUUCCAUUGUACAAGAGUCACCGUCAAAGACCUCGGAGAGGGUCUCAGUGUCUGCAUAUGACCUCUGGGACCUGCGCAUGGUGCCGUCUGGGGUGUCGACGCAGAGGUGGUUAAGGAGUCUGAGGUGGGGAGAGCACCCUGGAGUUUCCAGGGGGCUGCUAAAUCCCACCACCAGUGUCCUUCUGACAAAGAGACAAAGGCAUGUUUGACCUGCGGAAGAGGAGGGACCCGUGGGAGCAAGGAGACCGAGGCCGGGCGCUGUGGUGGUCAGCCCAGGACUGCGGUGGCCACCAGCCGCAGAGGAGGCAACGGAGGAGCUCUCCCUGGAUCCUCUUGAGGCAGCAAGUCCCCGCAGGUACCCCGACAGCAGCCUAGUGACACCCAUUUCAGACUUUGGGGCCUUCGGCGCGGUUAAGAUCAUUCCCUCCUGUUGUUUUCAAGCCACGGGUUUGGGGUGAUUUGUUACAGCGACCACAGGGAACAGACACAGCGAUCAUCUUCCCUGAGCACGGACCACGAAGACGGACUGGGUGGAGGGAGGGGGAGAGAGGAAAAGGAUCUGCCAGUUCUCACCCAAAGCACGGGCAAACAGCCUUUCCUGGGGGUCAUGAAUACUCCUUCGUUUCUUCCUCUUAUCUCCAGACUGAGCGUGGCUCAGCUCCAAGCGCUGCUGGGGUAUCUCAGGCUUCAGGGGAAACAAAACCCUAGAGUGGGAGGAGCCAGGGCGGUUAGGGGGCCCCAGGAGAGGGUCUGUGGGCUCACGUCCUGGGAAGUCUCCUGAGGUCUGCUGGGUGGAAAUAAGUGGCCAAUGGCCCAGUGCAGGGUGGCCGCAUUGGCAUCCACGAGGAGGCUGUGCAGGGGUGGGGACUUGAACUCCAGACCAGGGUCCCUUUAGUCUUUACCACAUUUCCUCCUGCAGGUGUGAGCUGGCGUCCUUACCAGGUGCUUGCUCCCCAGACUUGGAAUCUUCCAGCUAUUGGAGUUUGCUGCCCCUCGGGGAUAUGCACAUCGGUCUUCAGAGGCAGGAACCAAAGUCUCUUUCUUGACUUGAGUGUAACCCCACCUUCCUGUAGCCUCCUGUGACGGGCAGUAGUUUUACCUCUUGAUGCGCUCCAAAUGAGGCUCGGUGUCACACAUACAGGUGCACUCCAGAUAUCCAAAGGGUUUUUAAUCUUUUGGUUUACCUACCGGGCAAAACCCUCCAUUUCUUUAACUUGGAGGAGAACUUUUUGUGGCUGGUAACCCCACCCACCCCCCCCCUCCGAACAAACUUCCAUUUUCGUCUCCCUCCUACCUUAUAGGGCAGCUUAAAGCUUUGACACCAGAAUUUCAGGUGUGAGCUGCUCCACCUGCAAGACUCAUGCUUCACUCACGUAACCAGAGAUUGGUUUAGUUUAAUCUCACUUUUUUGGCAAACACAUCAUUUUUAGUUGUACGACCCUAAUUGUUGGUUAGAGUGCUCUCUUCUUAAACUUGGGUACAAACGGCUUUUUGGAAGCACAUGGUCUCGUUUGGUUUUGUACUAGGGAUUGAACCCGGGAGUGCUUUAUCUCUGAACCGCAUCCCCAGCCCUUUUGAUUUUUUUUUUGAUUUUGAGACAGGGUCUCACUAAGUUGCUGUACCUGUGAUCCUCCUGUGUCAGCCUCCGAAGUCACUGAGGUGAUAGGUGUGUGCACCCAUGCCUGGCUGGACGGUCUUACAGCCACCUGGAGAGCCCGACAAGGAGAAUCUACUUACAAAUAGUAUCACUGUCGGUUAAAGUAAAAAUGCUACCCCACGUCAAUCCAUAUAAAUAUCCCCUUAGUUUUAUUCUAGGUGGAGGUCACGUGGCGAUUCCUACAGGCUGGCACCAACCAGCCCUGCAAGGUUUGGGAGCAUUCUCACUAGACUUCUUCCCCUGCUACCUCCUUCCACCCCCCAAAUAAUUCCUGGUUGAAUCAAGUAUCCACAAUCUUCCGUGAGAAGAGGGACCAUUGCCAUACUGAAAAGGGCUCAUGUAGCAACCCUGCGAGUCGGGUUCUCAUUUUGCAGAAGAGGAACUUGAGGGUCAUUUCAAAGCAAAUUUUCCUGGGUCACGGGAUUGCAGACCUCACGUUCAGACUCAGGUGCAUCAAGCGGUAUCCAAGCUCCACAUGGAGCGAGGGAGAGGAGAGCGACCCUUGGAGCUCUGCAGGUGGACUGAGCCAGAGUCGACCCUUCUGGGCCCCCCUGAAGGAGCUGAGCAUCACAGUGUCGGUUCAGGAGAGACUGAGCUGACAUCCUGUCUCUGUGGCUGGGCCUCCUGGAGCCCAGUGUGUUUAGGAAGCAAGGUCCUGUGCAUUCUGUCCCAGCCUCGGCCGUGCAGACUGUGGGAGUUUUGCUGGCUUAACAUCUAUUCACCAGGCAUUUCUCUUAGGCCAAACCAGGGCUAGGGCUGGAAAAACAGAGGCCCAUGGGGUCGGUCAUGCAGCCCACGAGGGAGCUGAAUUAGAGGCCUUGGAGCCUGAGGCUGGUGGUGGACCCCCGGCGUGUGGACUUCCUCUGGGCUGUCUGCCCAGACGGAGGGGUUCUGGAGCCCACGAGGUGGGAUAAUAAUAUUUUAUUAAACACUUUCCAACUUUCAGUA